rnacentral:rRNA from 1 species
GACGAACGCUGGCGGCGUGCUUAACACAUGCAAGUCGAACGGAAAGGCCCUGCUUUUGUGGGGUGCUCGAGUGGCGAACGGGUGAGUAACACGUGAGUAACCUGCCCUUGACUUUGGGAUAACUUCAGGAAACUGGGGCUAAUACCGGAUAGGAGCUCCUGCUGCAUGGUGGGGGUUGGAAAGUUUCGGCGGUUGGGGAUGGACUCGCGGCUUAUCAGCUUGUUGGUGGGGUAGUGGCUUACCAAGGCUUUGACGGGUAGCCGGCCUGAGAGGGUGACCGGCCACAUUGGGACUGAGAUACGGCCCAGACGCCUACGGGAGGCAGCAGUGGGGAAUAUUGCACAAUGGGCUGAAGCCUGAUGCAGCAACGCCGCGUGCGGGAUGACGGCCUUCGGGUUGUAAACCGCUUUCGCCUGUGACGAAGCGUGAGUGACGGUAAUGGGUAAAGAAGCACCGGCUAACUACGUG